GACGUAGGGCGCGAGCGUUGUCCGGAUUUAUUGGGCGUAAAGAGCUCGUAGGCGGCUUGUCGCGUCGACUGUGAAAACCCGAAGCUCAACUCCGGGCCUGCAUCCGAAACUGCCCGACUAGAGGUAGGUAGGGGAGAUCGGAAUUCCUGGUGUAGCGGUGAAAUGCGCAGAUAUCAGGAGGAACACCGGUGGCGAAGGCGGAUCUCUGGGCCUUACCUGACGCUCAGGUGCGAAAGCUAGGGGAGCGAACAGG
rnacentral:rRNA from 1 species